GAGGCGAACCGGGGGAACUGAAACAUCUAAGUACCCCGAGGAAAAGAAAUCAACCGAGAUUCCGAAAGUAGCGGCGAGCGAAAUUGGACUAGCCCUUAAGCUUUACACGCGUUAGACGAACGGUCUGGAAAGUCCGACGAUACAGGGUGAUAGUCCCGUAGUUGACGACGUGUGUUCAGUGAAAUCGAGUAGGGCGGGACACGUGAUAUCCUGUCUGAAUAU
rnacentral:rRNA from 1 species